rnacentral:rRNA from 1 species
GAGUUUGAUCUUGGCUCAGAGUGAACGCUGGCGGCAGGCCUAACACAUGCAAGUCGAACGGCAGCGCAGCAGUAGCAAUACUGUGGGCGGCGAGUGGCGGACGGGUGAGGAAUACAUCGGAACGUGUCCUGUCGUGGGGGGAUAACCAGUCGAAAGAUUGGCUAAUACCGCAUGACCUCGUAAGAGAAAAGCGGGGGACCGUAAGGCCUCGCGCGACUGGAGCGGCCGAUGUCGGAUUAGCUAGUUGGCGGGGUAAAAGCCCACCAAGGCGACGAUCCGUAGCUGGUUUGAGAGAACGACCAGCCACACUGGGACUGAGACACGGCCCAGACUCCUACGGGAGGCAGCAGUGGGGAAUUUUGGACAAUGGGGGCAACCCUGAUCCAGCCAUGCCGCGUGUGUGAAGAAGGCCUUCGG